rnacentral:rRNA from 1 species
GACGAACGCUGGCGGCGUGCUUAACACAUGCAAGUCGAACGGAAAGGCCCUGCUUUUGUGGGGUGCUCGAGUGGCGAACGGGUGAGUAACACGUGAGUAACCUGCCCUUGACUUUGGGAUAACUUCAGGAAACUGGGGCUAAUACCGGAUAGGAGCUCCUGCUGCAUGGUGGGGGUUGGAAAGUUUCGGCGGUUGGGGAUGGACUCGCGGCUUAUCAGCUUGUUGGUGGGGUAGUGGCUUACCAAGGCUUUGACGGGUAGCCGGCCUGAGAGGGUGACCGGCCACAUUGGGACUGAGAUACGGCCCAGACUCCUACGGGAGGCAGCAGGGGGGAAUAUUGCUCAAUGGGCGGAAGCCUGAUGCAGCAACGCCGCGUGCGGGAUGACGGCCUUCGGGUUGUAAACCGCUUUCGCCUGUGACGAAGCGUGAGUGACGGUAAUGGGUAAAGAAGCACCGGCUAACUACGUG